CCAGACUCCUACGGGAGGCAGCAGUGGGGAAUCUUCCGCAAUGGGCGAAAGCCUGACGGAGCAACGCCGCGUGAUCGAAUGAAGGCCUUCGGGUUGUAAAGAUCUGUUGACAGGGACGAAUAAGCAAUGCGAAUAGUUUUGUGUAUGACGGUACCUGUUUAGAAAGCUCCGGCUAACUACGUGCCAGCAGCCGCGGUAAUACGUAGGGAGCAAGCGUUGUCCGGAUUUACUGGGUGUAAAGGGAGCGUAGGCGGCCUGGCAAGCCUGAUGUGAAAUACCGGGGCCCAACCCCGGGGCUGCAUUGGGAACUGCCAGGCUGGAGUGCCGGAGAGGCAGGCGGAAUUCCUAGUGUAGCGGUGAAAUGCGUAGAUAUUAGGAGGAACACCAGUGGCGAAGGCGGCCUGCUGGACGGUGACUGACGCUGAGGCUCGAAAGCGUGGGGAGCAAACAGGAUUAGAUACCCGGGUAC
rnacentral:rRNA from 1 species